rnacentral:rRNA from 1 species
GACAGAGGUCUCAAGCGUUAGGCGGAAUCACUGGGCUUAAAGCGUGUGUAGGCGGAUCGUUAAGUGCUUUGUGAAAUCCCACAGCUCAACUGUGGAACUGCUUGGCAUACUGGCGGUCUUGAGCCAUCUAGGGGUCGCUGGAACAAACGGUGGAGCGGUGAAAUGCGUAGAUAUCGUUUGGAACGCCAAUGGUGAAAACAGGCGACUGGGGAUGUGCUGACGCUGAGACGCGAAAGCGUGGGGAGCAAACAGG